rnacentral:rRNA from 1 species
UACGUAGGGUGCAAGCGUUAAUCGGAAUUACUGGGCGUAAAGCGUGCGCAGGCGGUUAUGCAAGACAGAUGUGAAAUCCCCGGGCUCAACCUGGGAACUGCAUUUGUGACUGCAUAGCUAGAGUACGGCAGAGGGGGGUGGAAUUCCGCGUGUAGCAGUGAAAUGCGUAGAGAUGCGGAGGAACACCGAUGGCGAAGGCAGCCCCCUGGGUUGACACUGACGCUCAGGCACGAAAGCGUGGGGAGCAAACAGG